rnacentral:rRNA from 1 species
GAUGAACGCUGGCGGCGUGCCUAAUACAUGCAAGUAGAACGCUGAAGGAAGGAGCUUGCUCUUUCCGGAUGAGUUGCGAACGGGUGAGUAACGCGUAGGUAACCUGCCUGGUAGCGGGGGAUAACUAUUGGAAACGAUAGCUAAUACCGCAUAACAGUAGAUGUUGCAUGAUAUCUACUUAAAAGGUGCAAUUGCACCACUACCAGAUGGACCUGCGUUGUAUUAGCUAGUUGGUGAGGUAACGGCUCACCAAGGCGACGAUACAUAGCCGACCUGAGAGGGUGAUCGGCCACACUGGGUCUGAGACACGGCCCAGACUCCUACGGGAGGCAGCAGUAGGGAAUCUUCGGCAAUGGACGGAAGUCUGACCGAGCAACGCCGCGUGAGUGAAGAAGGUUUUCGGAUCGUAAAGCUCUGUUGUAAGAGAAGAACGAGUGUGAGAGUGGAAAGUUCACACUGUGACGGUAUCUUACCAGAAAGGGACGGCUAACUACGUG